GACGAACGCUGGCGGCGUGCUUAACACAUGCAAGUCGAGCGGUAAGGCCUUUCGGGGUACACGAGCGGCGAACGGGUGAGUAACACGUGGGUGAUCUUCCCUGCACUUCGGGAUAAGCCUGGGAAACUGGGUCUAAUACCGGAUAUGACCUCCUAUCGCAUGGUGGGUGGUGGAAAGAUUUAUCGGUGCAGGAUGGGCCCGCGGCCUAUCAGCUUGUUGGUGGGGUAAUGGCCUACCAAGGCGACGACGGGUAGCCGACCUGAGAGGGUGACCGGCCACACUGGGACUGAGACACGGCCCAGACUCCUACGGGAGGCAGCAGUGGGGAAUAUUGCACAAUGGGCGGAAGCCUGAUGCAGCGACGCCGCGUGAGGGAUGACGGCCUUCGGGUUGUAAACCUCUUUCAGCAGGGACGAAGCGCAAGUGACGGUACCUGCAGAAGAAGCACCGGCUAACUACGUG
rnacentral:rRNA from 1 species